UACGUAGGGCGCAAGCGUUGUCCGGAAUUAUUGGGCGUAAAGAGCUCGUAGGUGGCUUGUUGCGUCUGCCGUGAAAGCCCGUGGCUUAACUACGGGUCUGCGGUGGAUACGGGCAGGCUAGAGGCUGGUAGGGGCAAGCGGAAUUCCUGGUGUAGCGGUGAAAUGCGCAGAUAUCAGGAGGAACACCGGUGGCGAAGGCGGAUCUCUGGGCCUUACCUGACGCUCAGGCGCGAAAGCUAGGGGAGCGAACAGG
rnacentral:rRNA from 1 species